GUUAUUUAAGAAAAUCAUAAGGAAGAGAAAAUACAUUUAUGGUACUGUACUGUACCAAGAAAAGUCUGCACAGAUAAACUGAUGCACGCAGUUCAAACCUGUUGUUUGGGGACACCUGGAUGGCUCAGUGGUUGAGGGUCUGCCUUUGGCUCAAGGCAUGAUCCUGGGUCCGGGGAUCGAGUCCCACAUCGGGCUCCCUGUGAGGAGCCUACUUCUCCUUCUGUCUCUGUCUCUCUCUGUCUCUCAUAAAUAAAUAGAAUCUUAAAAAAAUUUUUUUAGGGAUCCCUGGGUGGCGCAGCGGUUUGGCGCCUGCCUUUGGCCCAGGGCGCGAUCCUGGAGACCCGGGAUCGAAUCCCACAUCAGGCUCCCGGUGCAUGGAGCCUGCUUCUCCCUCUGCCUAUGUCUCUGUGCCUCUCUCUCUCUCUCUCUCUGUGACUAUCAUAAAUAAAUAAAAAAAAUAAAAAAUAAAAAAAUAAAAAAAUUUUUUUAAAAACCCUGUUGUUCAAAGAUACAAUUGUAGAUAUAGAUAUAUCUCUGUAGAUGCACUUGUAUACAUAACACACGUGUAUAUGUACACACAUACAUACUUUUUCUUUUAACUAAAAGUUUACAAUUUUAUUUUCACAUUUCACAAUACAAAUGAACAUUGCCUUUUUUUUUUUUUUUUUUUUGUCUCACUACUCCCCUGCAAAAACUAUUCUCUCGCUGAUAGGAAGGGGGAGCAAGUCUUCCUUGUCACGCUGUUAGAAAAUGCCCAGAAUCACAGCACCAUGAUCUCCUGGUGAAGUAGAACAAGUAAUACAAAGUGAGUAUAAAGAGGUUCCUGUCUCUCCUUAUCUGUCUGGUUGAGUCAUUCCUGGCAAGUGGGCACCAUCAUGGGACGGGCAGGAGGUCUCAUCACUGGGGGCCCAGACAUCAUUGGCAUGUGGCCUCAUCCCAGGAGGAGGAGGCCCCAUUGGCAUCAUAGGAGGGCCCCCCCAUAUGGGGCACUGGCACAUACCAGGGGGAGGAGGACCCUGGAGACUGGGGGGAGGUGGGAUCAUUGCCCCUGCAGGAGGAGGAGCAGAGAAUGGAGUAGGAGGUAUCUUUUCUUGUUGAAAUGCAGCGGAGAGUCAUGGGUGAGGUAUGUGCCGCAGUAGUCACAAUAAAACUUAGGCAUGUUGCUCUGCA
rnacentral:lncRNA from 12 species